rnacentral:lncRNA from 1 species
CCGGGGCCGGGGCCGGGGAUGGCGCCGCGGGUGGCGGGGUUCUCGCCGGCUCUGCCGCCCGGUGCGUGCCCGCGGGGCCGGCGGGGAACAGGCGGGGGUGCCAGUACUGCCCGGGGGCCCGGCGAGCGACUCCGGGGAAUAAAAGCGAGGGGAGUCGCGGCGGAACGGGCUUUGUUCCGUAGGUGGCGGCUGCCGUGGGGAUGUGCAGCUGCGGUUUCGUUCUCCAGGGCCGCGGAUGGCCGCCCUGCGCAGCUGGAGAGCCGCUUCCUGACAGGCACUCUGCUCCUGAAGAUCUCCCUAGGCAGCAGCCUGGGCCAUUCCUUCAUGACCUGCCUGGACCCAGGGCCUGCUUCUCACCAGGUAGCCCACCUUGAAGUUUGCUCAGUAGUUGCAUCCCUGCCCCAAAUAAUUUUCCCUGGUGUUCAGGGCAGAUGCAACCUCUCCUGUGUCCACAGCAGGCAUGUGGGCUGUGACAUGUUGUAUGUGGGUGCCAAGACUCACUCAUUUUACUUGCCUCAGCUCCCCAGUAGGGCACAUCCUGCCCCAGUGGCUGGAGCCUCACUGUUAGCUGCACCAUUUGCUAGCAUCAGGGCCUUUACCCACUCCCAUUGCUGGCAUAAUAGGAAUUUAUAUCCCAAAUAGUUGUACGCUGUCAACUUAAUAAAUGCUGUGUGCAUGUGUCA